rnacentral:rRNA from 1 species
UACGUAGGGGGCAAGCGUUACUCGGAAUUACUGGGCGUAAAGGGUGUGUAGGUUGCUCGUUAAGUCAAGGAUGAAAUCCCGAAGCUCAACUUCGGAAUGGUCCUUGAUACUGGCGGGCUUGAGGCUAGUUGAGGAGAGCGGAAUUCCCGGUGGAGCGGUGAAAUGCGUAGAUAUCGGGAGGAACACCUGAGGCGAAGGCGGUUCUCUAAACUAGUCCUGACACUGAAACACGAAAGCCAGGGGAGCAAACGGGAUUAGAUACCCCGGUAGUCUUGGCUGUAAACAAUGGACACUGGAUGUUCCCACGUUCCUGUGGGAGUGUCGUAGCUAACGCGUUAAGUGUCCCGCCUGGGGAGUACGGUCGCAAGGCUGAA